GAUGAACGCUGGCGGCGUGCCUAAUACAUGCAAGUCGAGCGAACAGACGAGGAGCUUGCUCCUCUGACGUUAGCGGCGGACGGGUGAGUAACACGUGGAUAACCUACCUAUAAUACUGGGAUAACUUCGGGAAACCGGAGCUAAUACCGGAUAAUAUAUUGAACCGCAUGGUUCAAUAGUGAAAGACGGUUUUGCUGUCACUUAUAGAUGGAUCCGCGCCGCAUUAGCUAGUUGGUAAGGUAACGGCUUACCAAGGCGACGAUGCGUAGCCGAGCUGAGAGGGUGAUCGGCCACACUGGAACUGAGACACGGUCCAGACUCCUACGGGAGGCAGCAGUAGGGAAUCUUCCGCAAUGGGCGAAAGCCUGACGGAGCAACGCCGCGUGAGUGAUGAAGGUCUUCGGAUCGUAAAACUCUGUUAUUAGGGAAGAACAAAUGUGUAAGUAACUAUGCACGUCUUGACGGUACCUAAUCAGAAAGCCACGGCUAACUACGUG
rnacentral:rRNA from 1 species